rnacentral:rRNA from 1 species
AACACAUGCAAGUCGAGCGCCCCGCAAGGGGAGCGGCAGACGGGUGAGUAACGCGUGGGAAUCUACCUUUUGCUACGGAAUAACUCAGGGAAACUUGUGCUAAUACCGUAUGUGCCCUUCGGGGGAAAGAUUUAUCGGCAAAGGAUGAGCCCGCGUUGGAUUAGCUAGUUGGUGAGGUAAAGGCUCACCAAGGCGACGAUCCAUAGCUGGUCUGAGAGGAUGAUCAGCCACACUGGGACUGAGACACGGCCCAGACUCCUACGGGAGGCAGCAGUGGGGAAUAUUGGACAAUGGGCGCAAGCCUGAUCCAGCCAUGCCGCGUGAGUGAUGAAGGUCUUAGGAUUGUAAAGCUCUUUCACCGGUGAAGAUAAUGACGGUAACCGGAGAAGAAGCCCCGGCUAACUUCGUGCCAGCAGCCGCGGUAAUACGAAGGGGGCUAGCGUUGUUCGGAUUUACUGGGCGUAAAGCGCACGUAGGCGGACUUUUAAGUCAGGGGUGAAAUCCCGGGGCUCAACCCCGGAACUGCCUUUGAUACUGGAAGUCUUGAGUAUGGUAGAGGUGAGUGGAAUUCCGAGUGUAGAGGUGAAAUUCGUAGAUAUUCGGAGGAACACCAGUGGCGAAGGCGGCUCACUGGACCAUUACUGACGCUGAGGUGCGAAAGCGUGGGGAGCAAACA